rnacentral:rRNA from 1 species
GGGUCAGUAGGUUGGUCGUGCCACCGGUACGUACUGGUCUCACUGAUUCCUCCUUCUUGAAGAACCGUAAUGCCAUUAAUUUGGUGUUGCGGGGAAACAGGACUGUUACUUUGAAAAAAUUAGAGUGUUUAAAGCAAGCUAACGCUUGAAUACAUUAGCAUGGAAUAAUGAAAUAGGACGAUCGAUCCUAUUUUGUUGGUUUCUAGGAUUGACGUA